UACGAAGGGGGCUAGCGUUGCUCGGAAUUAUUGGGCGUAAAGGGCGCGUAGGCGGCCAUGCGUGUCUUCCGUGAAAUCCCUCGGCUUAACUGAGGACGUGCGGAAGAAACUGCAAGGCUCGAGUCCGGGAGAGGGGGGUGGAAUUCCCAGUGUAGCGGUGAAAUGCGUAGAUAUCGGGAGGAACACCGGUGGCGAAGGCGGCAUCCUGGACCAACACUGACGCUGAGUGAGCGAAAGCCAGGGGAGCAAACGGG
rnacentral:rRNA from 1 species